rnacentral:rRNA from 1 species
UACAGAGGGGGCAAGCGUUGUUCGGAAUUACUGGGCGUAAAGGGCGCGUAGGCGGCCCGCUAAGUCGAACGUGAAAUCCCUGGGCUCAACCCAGGAACUGCGUCCGAUACUGGCGGGCUUGAAUCCGGGAGAGGGAUGUGGAAUUCCAGGUGUAGCGGUGAAAUGCGCAGAUAUCGGGAGGAACACCAAUGGCGAAGGCAGCUCGCUGGGACGGUACUGACGCUGAGACGCGAAAGCGUGGGGAGCAACAGG